UACGUAGGGGGCAAGCGUUAUCCGGAUUUACUGGGUGUAAAGGGAGCGUAGACGGCUGUGCAAGUCUGAAGUGAAAGGCAUGGGCUCAACCUGUGGACUGCUUUGGAAACUGUGCAGCUAGAGUGUCGGAGAGGUAAGUGGAAUUCCUAGUGUAGCGGUGAAAUGCGUAGAUAUUAGGAGGAACACCAGCGGCGAAGGCGGCUUACUGGACGAUGACUGACGUUGAGGCUCGAAAGCGUGGGGAGCAAACAGG
rnacentral:rRNA from 1 species